AAGCCACCAUCCAGCUUACAAUUGGUCACAAUUGACUGAACGCUCUGAGAACUUAGCUUGGAGAAUUCUGGUUCUCUACAGGUGGGCCUUAGAGACCUGGAUUCAGUCUUCCUCUUCCAUUCAGGAAUAUGAUCAAGUGUGCCUCUCUUUGGUGCUGCUCAACCUACCCCUGGCUAUGAGUACCCCAGGACCCCACUUGGACCUCACCCAAGGGGACAGGGGAAGAACCAGAUAGGGACAGAGGUCUCUGUGGUUUCUUCUGACCCCCACUGGUCUAGAGACAAAGAAAACUGUUCCAGAGAACAACCAGUGUGGGUAACUUUUCUGUGUUCUGACUUUAAAGACAACUGCUAACAUAGUGGCUUUUCCUAAUCAAGGGCUUGCCAGCAAAAUGGAAAAAGGAUUUGGAAGGGCCUCAUGUUUUAUAAUCUUUGAUAACCUUAUUUUAAAAUAUUAUUUAAUAGUGAUUAUUUGAUUGUAUAUAUUAUUUACAUAACAACACCAGUCUUUCCUGC
rnacentral:lncRNA from 1 species